GCAGAUAAAAGAAAACUUUGUCUUUUUCUGUCACAAUAUGUUUUUGAUGGCAUUCAAUCAUCCAGUGAGGAAAGUGAUUCUGAUUCAGAGGAUACAGAAUUGCUUACUGUUAUCGGAUCCACCGAAAUGGAGCGUCAUCCUCGUCAAGUUGGAUACCUGAACGUGAUAUCUGUAUACUCUGAUGCAGAUUUUUUCAAACACUUCAGGGAGAUCUUUUCUACGGUGGAAAGCUGGACGAGGAAUAUCUCAAUUGCAACGUGAACAACCAACCGUAUGCUGUAGGUGUGAUAGAUCGCUUGGCUGAAAGAAAACGGCAACAAAUCUGUGACUCCCUACAAUGAAGACAAAAAUAAAAAUUUGUUAUCAAUCCAUAAACUGAAAUAAAGUACGCAUUGUUCUUCAUUGUAA